CAAACCUCCAAAUGUAUUCGGUUGCCGUGCGAAUUCCAGACACACAAAGCAAAUACCUGGUUUCCAUUUUGGUUUGACAGGGGUGAGAUAAACUCCCACCCCCGACAUUUCGCUGUAAUUUGUUUGUGC